rnacentral:rRNA from 1 species
GACGAACGCUGGCGGCGCGCUUAACACAUGCAAGUCGAACGGUAAGGCCCUGCUUUUGUGGGGUGCUCGAGUGGCGAAAGGGUGAGUAACCCGUGAGUAACCUGCCCUUGACUUUGGGAUAACUUCAGGCAGCUGGGGCUAAUACCGGAUAGGAGCUACUGCUGCAUGGUGGGGGUUGGCACGUUUCGGCGGGUGGGGAUGGACGCGCGGCUUAUCAGCUUGUUGGUGGGGAAGGGGCUUACCAAGGCAUUGACGGGUCGCCGGCCUGAGAGGGUGACCGGCCACAUUAGGAUUGAGAUGCGGCCCAGACUCCUACGGGAGGCAACGGUGCGGAAUAUUGCACAACGGGCGGAAGCCUGAUGCAGCAACGCCGCGUGCGGGAUGACGGCCAGCGGGUUGUAAACCGCUGUCGCCUUAGACGAAGCGUGAGUGACGGUAAUAGAUAAAGAAGCACCGGCUAACUACGUG